GAUGAACGCUAGCUACAGGCUUAACACAUGCAAGUCGAGGGGCAGCAUGGUCUUAGCUUGCUAAGGCCGAUGGCGACCGGCGCACGGGUGAGUAACACGUAUCCAACCUGCCGUCUACUCUUGGACAGCCUUCUGAAAGGAAGAUUAAUACAAGAUGGCAUCAUGAGUCCGCAUGUUCACAUGAUUAAAGGUAUUCCGGUAGACGAUGGGGAUGCGUUCCAUUAGAUAGUAGGCGGGGUAACGGCCCACCUAGUCUUCGAUGGAUAGGGGUUCUGAGAGGAAGGUCCCCCACAUUGGAACUGAGACACGGUCCAAACUCCUACGGGAGGCAGCAGUGAGGAAUAUUGGUCAAUGGGCGAGAGCCUGAACCAGCCAAGUAGCGUGAAGGAUGACUGCCCUAUGGGUUGUUAAACUUCUUUUUAAUAAAGGAAUAAAGUCGGGUAUGGAUACCCGUUUGCAUGUACUUAUGAAUAAGGAUCGGCUAACUCCGUGCCAG
rnacentral:rRNA from 1 species